GCCGGGGUGGUGGAAUUGGUAGACACACAGGACUUAAAAUCCUGCGGUUGGUCAUCAACCGUGCCGGUUCGAGUCCGGCCCUCGGUA
rnacentral:tRNA from 1 species